rnacentral:lncRNA from 1 species
CAUGAGGACCACAUGAGAGAGGGGAUGGUCCAGAGAUUCAAAAUACACUGCAGAUAUUCAGAUUAGAACACUUCACGUCACCCUUUGUCUGAGGAAUGAUAUCUUUGUCGCGCCGGAAAUCGCCUUCGGCGGCGACGGAGAGCCAAACCACGUAAAACCUACACCAAUCUCCUCGUUUCAUCCUUGUCUACCUAGAUUCAUCCAUAAUUUAUCCUAAUUCUUAGCCUAAGGUGCAAAUCGAACAGAAAAGCUCAAUAACCCUAAUCACAAAUUCUAAAAUUAAACUCUCACAAAGAGGAAUCCAAGUCUCUAAUAUUAGGGCUUUUAUUCUUCUAACAAAACCCCACAUGAUGACAACUAUCUUAGAGUGAAAUAAAGAAGAAGUGUUCACCUCCAUAGAAGCAGCUUUCCUCAGUAGUGGUUGCAAUAGAGAUGAUGAAAGAAGAUUGAAGAUGCUUAUGUAUGAAAUCCUUGCUUCUGAAUCUCUUUUCCUCUUUUCCUUUUUCAUUCUCCUUCUUCUUCACCUCUUGUUGUUUCUAAGUUUUUGUUGUUGUUGUUGUUGAGUAUGAUAUUAAUGAGAGUGAGGGAGUGAUGAAUUAUGAGGCAUUGAGAGAGAAUUGUGGGGGAUUGAGAAAGUAGCUUUGAUGAUGAGUGAAAAUGAUUAGUGAAAAAAAUGGUCAGCAAGACAAUAAUUGAGUGAUGAUGAAUUAUAUAGAGAUUCCAGAUUAACAUAGCUUAACUCUAUUAACUUGAGUUAGUGAAAAUAAGUUAUGAUUGAUAACACUAUUAGUCUUAGAAGUUUGGAAAGUUAGUUGAGAUUUCAGUUAGAAUCUGUUACAGUUAAUUCCUCAAUUAGUGUGAUGAGUGAAGCUUAGUUAUAGAAAUUUAUAUUAAGUUAGUUCUUAGAAAAUUGCAGUUCUAUUAGUUAAAUGAAUUUCUGUUAUUGAUCAGUUAAUUUUGUUAGUUUGAAUAGUUAAUUAACUCUUAUGUGAGUUAGAAAAUUGAAGUUAGGUUAGUGAUGUGCUAAAUCUAUUAGAAGUUAAUUCAGUUAUGAUGCUUGAUAUUGAUUGAAAUGGUAUUGAAAUUUCAUCAAUUUGUUAAGAAUGAAAAAAAGAUACAUGUUGUUGUUAAGAAUUUCAUGGCUCUGUUAUGCUAUGUUUGAAUGAACUUAUUAAGAAGGUUACGUUAAAUGCUAGUUAUCAUGAUCAUUUAGUUGGAUGGCAAGUUAUUAGUGUAGUUAGGUUAAAAUUGCUACAUGAACUGUGCAAUGAGUUAUUGAAGUUCAUGUAAGUAAAUGAAUGCUUAAGCCAUUAGAUUCAGUUAGUAAUUGAUGUUAAAAAGUUGAAUGUAGAGGUUUAUUUCCCUUAAUGUGUCGGACCUGUUGUAUUGCUGUUAUGUUAGGAUGAUUGGUUGAUUUAGUCAAAUAGAAAUCCAAUUAUAGGGUCAGCUGCCAUGGAAUAUAUGUGGUCAUUGGCAAGGAUUUUGUGGCUAGGUUUUUUCUGCUUAAUUGGUAAGUUUUGCUAUGUACUGACACGUUGAAAAUGGCCUUAGUACUUACUUCAAAUGGUAUGCUUGGAAGGAAAUUAUGUUUAAGUUGAUAUGAAUGGUUAUUGUGUCAUGAAUUUUGUGGGUGUAUGUAUGUAAAUGUAUGUUAAUUAUGUGACACUUAGUUGGUGAUUGGUUUGAUCGAAAAUGUGAUGUAUGAUGAUGAUUGAUCGUGUUAAUGCUUGAAUGUAUGUCAUGGCUGCUAUCAUGUGAUAUUUUGGCUUAUGAUUGAAAUUUUGUAUUGGACCUUAAAGUUACAUUGCAUAUUAGCUUGAAAUGAGGUUAGGUUUUGGCUUGAUUCAAACUUUCAUUUUUGCUAACAUAUGCAUUGGCCUGUUUUGGUAGUUUUUGUGUUGAAUGGUCAUGCUCGAAAUGGACUGAAAUGCUUGCUUGGAAUGGUUUCGUAGGAUGUUUGGAAACAUGGGGGAUUGAACAAAGGCCUAAAAAAUGGAUAUUCACGUGGCAUGCAUUUAAAGGAACUUGGAACACGGUGACAUCAAAAGAUUAAGAAGAAAAUGGAGGUUUUGAGGAUCAAACAAAAUGGGAUGGCUUGUGGGAGAAGUAGGAAAAGAAUUAGGGUUAGGGUAGUUAGAAUUUAGUCAGUUGACUUUGGUCAACUAUUUGACCAAAAACUCAACAGUUGACCAAAAGUCAACCUAGGUCAAAAUUGUAUUUGUUUUUUGUAAGGGUUUAUGAGGUAAUGUAAUGGAUUAAUGGUUUUUGAAAUUGAAAUGGAUUUUGAAUGGAACAUAAAUGGUAAAAUGAAACUUAUAUUCUAAGUAACAUGCUUCCCUCAAGAAUUCAAACUCACAUGUAAACAUUUUCC